UACGUAGGGGGCUAGCGUUGUCCGGAAUUAUUGGGCGUAAAGAGCUCGUAGGCGGUUUGUCGCGUCGAAUGUGAAAACCCGGGGCUCAACCCCGGGCCUGCAUUCGAUACGGGCAGACUAGAGUUCGGUAGGGGAGUCUGGAAUUCCUGGUGUAGCGGUGAAAUGCGCAGAUAUCAGGAGGAACACCGGUGGCGAAGGCGGGACUCUGGGCCGAUACUGACGCUGAGGAGCGAAAGCGUGGGGAGCAAACAGG
rnacentral:rRNA from 1 species